rnacentral:rRNA from 1 species
GACGAACGCUGGCGGCGUGCUUAACACAUGCAAGUCGAACGGAAAGGCCCUGCUUGCAGGGUACUCGAGUGGCGAACGGGUGAGUAACACGUGGGUGAUCUGCCCUGCACUUCGGGAUAAGCCUGGGAAACUGGGUCUAAUACCGGAUAGGAGCCAUUUUUAGUGUGAUGGUUGGAAAGUUUUUUCGGUGUAGGAUGAGCUCGCGGCCUAUCAGCUUGUUGGUGGGGUAAUGGCCUACCAAGGCGGCGACGGGUAGCCGGCCUGAGGGGGUGGACGGCCACAUUGGGACUGAGAUACGGCCCAGACUCCUACGGGAGGCAGCAGUGGGGAAUAUUGCACCAUGGGCGCAAGCCUGAUGCAGCGACGCCGCGUGGGGGAUGACGGCCUUCGGGUUGUAAACUCCUUUCGCUAGGGACGAAGCUUUUUGUGACGGUACCUAGAUAAGAAGCACCGGCUAACUACGUG